ACUGGGGUUGGCCGAGUGGUUAAGGCGUUGGACUUAAGUUCCAAUGGACAAGUGUCCGCGUGGGUUCGAACCCCACACCCAGUA
rnacentral:tRNA from 1 species